rnacentral:sRNA from 1 species
GAUGAUUUAAGGCUCCGUAAAUGCUGAUGCAUGAAAUGUGGACUUUCGCGCAUUUACGAGUCGGAAGAGUCAGUUAACGGCAUUCCCUCAUGUAUCGCAUGAGGAGCGCAAUUUCAGAUUUACGUUUUGAAUCAGGAGACUGCUAAAAAUAUUUAACAUUUUCGAUACACCUUGCCAGAGUGAAUCAGAAUUUGUUAACCAUUUGG